AUUCCCGGUCACCCACAUCCUGAAGACGUGUCAGGAAAACCGCAAGCUUAAGGCUGGAGCCAACUGGCCUGAACAAGUCACAGUUCUGAAAAGCAGGCUCUCUCCCUGACUGAAUGCGAGGAGGCAGCUUUGAGUGGAGAGGGAGCCUGUCCGAGCGCGGUGGGAGCCAUAACGUCCAGCUGUCCAACUGCCACCGCCAGUGCAAGUCAUGACCCGAGCACACUGCAGGGAAGAUUGCCUCUCGUGACGUCAGCCCAAGGAGGAAAUGACCUUGAAGGAAACAGAACCCUGAUUAGUUGCAACGAAAGUGCUCAUUUCCAUUUUCCCUUUCCGAGAACGGCUGUGUUAUAUAGUCAAUGAAAUUAGUGUGCAUUGUUUUUGCCUGUUUCAACAACAAACAGAAGAGACAGGAUAAUGUGGAAGAUGUUAAAUGACUAAGUGAACUUUGGUUAGAACAACUUCAUAUUGGAGAUACUUCAUGAAAACUGAAAUUUUAUUAGCACAUUGUCAUUCAAAUUUCAAUAACAGUCAUUUUUGUUUGUU
rnacentral:lncRNA from 1 species